CCGUGCUAGACGGGGAAGUAGCGGAGCCCUGAACCCGCAAUCCGCUAUAGCGGGGUCGAAUUCCCGUCCGAGGGUUGGGCUUGUGGGGCUCGGUCCAAGCAAGUGGUGUUGACGAUUGGGUCUUGCGCAAUAAGGCUCCAUGAACCCCGUCAGGUCCGGGAGGAAGCAGCGGUAAGUGGAUCACCUUAUGUGCCGC
rnacentral:SRP_RNA from 1 species